rnacentral:rRNA from 1 species
CAAUAGCGUAUAUUAAAGUUGUUGCAGUUAAAAAGCUCGUAGUUGGAUUUCGGGGUGGCCUGGCUGGUCCGCCGCAAGGUGAGUACUGGUCAGCCGCCCUUCCUCUCGAAAGCCCCGACUGCUCUUUACUGAAGUGGUCGGGUAGUUCGGGACGUUUACUUUGAAAAAAUUAGAGUGUUCAAGGCAGGCUAUCGCCUGAAUACAUUAGCAUGGAAUAAUGGAAGAGGACCUCGGUCCUAUUUUGUUGGUUUCUAGGGCCGAAGUAAUGAUUAAGAGGGACAGUUGGGGGCAUUCGUAUUUAAUUGUCAGAGGUGAAAUUCUUGGAUUUAUGAAAGACGAACUAGUGCGAAAGCAUUUGCCAAGGAUGUUUUCAUUAA